rnacentral:lncRNA from 1 species
AAAAAACGGGGAAGCCCGCCGAAAAGGCCGGCGGAGAGGUAUCGAGGUCGGACGACCACAUGAGAUAAUCCGUACGGUUCAGGCCGUUUCCUCGAACAAAGAAAACGCAACAAUAAUGCGAAAACGAUGUGUUGCGAGGCAAGCGAAAAACGGGGAAGCCCGCCGAAAAGGCCGGCGGAAAGCUCUCGAGGUCGGACGACCACAUGAGACAAUCCGUACGGCCCAGGCCGUUUCCUCGAGCAAAGAAAACGCAACAAUAAUGCGAAAGCGAUGUGUUGCGAAGCAAGCAAAAAACGGGGAAGCCCGUUUAAAAGGUUGGCGGAAAGCUCUCGAGGUCGGACGACCACAUGAGACGAUCCGUACGGCCCAGGCCGCUUCCCCGAACAAAAACGCGACAGCAGUAUAGAAAGCGGUGUCAGAAGCAAGCGGAAACCGGAGGAGCCCGCCGAAAAGGCUAACGGAAGGUCCCCGGGGCCGGAAGGCCACACGGGAACGUCCGAAGGGCCCAGGCCGCUUCUCCAAGUCAAGGAAAACGAUUGAAGGAAGAGGCCCUCGACGGCCGAGUCAAGGUAAACGGACGCAAAAACAAAAGCCCACAAGCAAGUAUAAAAACAAGAAAAAAAGUUAAGUAUUAUUACAAAGCAGGGGUAAGAGUUCUUCCCGUACAAAAAAAAAGAGCAGAAAAAACAUUCGUUACGGCCUACUACUCAAGGGGAGGGUCCACGUAGUCGGGAAGUCGGCCUCAAGAUUUUGCUUCUCGCUGUCGCUCACAUCCACGGGAGGCUGAUAGGUGGGAACGCCCGUCUCCUCCCAGUUGGCCCAUUUGUUGCGGCUCCGGGGCACAACACCGCGCGAUAGGGGCGGGUAGACAAGCGAGCACAACCGGCGUCCGUGCACGUAACCCUUCCAGAAACCGCUGCGUUUGGAGUCCGCCAUCAAUACGGCAUGGUCCCUCUUCAGUUCGGCUAAGCGGUCUUCAAAGGUGGGAACAAAGGCCUUGACAAAAGCAUCUUGAACGUCCUUCGCGGCCUUCUCCGCGGCAGCAGCCCG